rnacentral:rRNA from 1 species
UACGGGGGGGGCAAGCGUUGUUCGGAAUUACUGGGCGUAAAGGGCUCGUAGGCGGCCAACUAAGUCAGACGUGAAAUCCCUCGGCUUAACCGGGGAACUGCCUCUGAUACUGGAUGGCUUGAGACCGGGAGAGGUGAGUGGAAUUCCCAGUGUAGCGGUGAAAUGCGUAGAUAUUGGGAGGAACACCAGUGGCGAAGGCGGCUCACUGGACCGGAACUGACGCUGAGGCGCGAAAGCGUGGGGAGCAAACAGG